AGAGUUUGAUCCUGGCUCAGAUUGAACGCUGGCGGCAUGCCUUACACAUGCAAGUCGAACGGCAGCACAGGAGCUUGCUCCUGGUGGCGAGUGGCGAACGGGUGAGUAAUAUAUCGGAACGUACCCUAGAGUGGGGGAUAACGCAGCGAAAGUUGCGCUAAUACCGCAUACGAUCUAUGGAUGAAAGUGGGGGAUCGCAAGACCUCAUGCUCAUGGAGCGGCCGAUAUCUGAUUAGCUAGUUGGUAGGGUAAAAGCCUACCAAGGCAUCGAUCAGUAGCUGGUCUGAGAGGACGACCAGCCACACUGGAACUGAGACACGGUCCAGACUCCUACGGGAGGCAGUAGUGGGGAAUUUUGGACAAUGGGCGCAAGCCUGAUCCAGCAAUGCCGCGUGAGUGAAGAAGGCCUUCGGGUUGUAAAGCUCUUUUGUCAGGGAAGAAACGGUGGACUCUAAUACAGAUCACUAAUGACGGUACCUGAAGAAUAAGCACCGGCUAACUACGUGCCAGCAGCCGCGGUAAUACGUAGGGUGCAAGCGUUAAUCGGAAUUACUGGGCGUAAAGCGUGCGCAGGCGGUUUGGUAAGACAGAUGUGAAAUCCCCGGGCUCAACCUGGGAAUUGCAUUUGUGACUGCCCGGCUAGAGUGUGUCAGAGGGGGGUAGAAUUCCACGUGUAGCAGUGAAAUGCGUAGAGAUGUGGAGGAAUACCAAUGGCGAAGGCAGCCCCCUGGGAUAACACUGACGCUCAUGCACGAAAGCGUGGGGAGCAAACAGGAUUAGAUACCCUGGUAGUCCACGCCCUAAACGAUGUCUACUAGUUGUUGGGUCUUAAUUGACUUAGUAACGCAGCUAACGCGUGAAGUAGACCGCCUGGGGAGUACGGUCGCAAGAUUAAAACUCAAAGGAAUUGACGGGGACCCGCACAAGCGGUGGAUGAUGUGGAUUAAUUCGAUGCAACGCGAAAAACCUUACCUACCCUUGACAUGUACGGAAUCCCUGAGAGAUUAGGGAGUGCUCGAAAGAGAGCCGUAACACAGGUGCUGCAUGGCUGUCGUCAGCUCGUGUCGUGAGAUGUUGGGUUAAGUCCCGCAACGAGCGCAACCCUUGUCAUUAGUUGCUACGAAAGGGCACUCUAAUGAGACUGCCGGUGACAAACCGGAGGAAGGUGGGGAUGACGUCAAGUCCUCAUGGCCCUUAUGGGUAGGGCUUCACACGUCAUACAAUGGUACAUACAGAGGGCCGCCAACCCGCGAGGGGGAGCUAAUCCCAGAAAGUGUAUCGUAGUCCGGAUUGUAGUCUGCAACUCGACUACAUGAAGUUGGAAUCGCUAGUAAUCGCGGAUCAGCAUGUCGCGGUGAAUACGUUCCCGGGUCUUGUACACACCGCCCGUCACACCAUGGGAGCGGGUUUCACCAGAAGUAGGUAGCCUAACCGUAAGGAGGGCGCUUACCACGGUGGGAUUCGUGACUGGGGUGAAGUCGUAACAAGGUAGCCGUAUCGGAGGUGCGGCUG
rnacentral:rRNA from 1 species